ACACACCGUUGUCCCCAGCUCCACCCCAGAACAGCCCAAAUUCCCCAGAUUGCUGUGAAGAGAGUCAGCCUGUGCUCAGAGGCAUUGAGCAAUGUGGAGCCUCCCAGGGUCCCUGCCCCUGCACCCGAAAACAGCCAAGAGGCCUGAGCAUCCGGGCUCAGAUCGGAAGGCGUUUCAGGGAGGACGGCUCUUUCCUUUUGGUCAGGUGCCUCAGCGUGGAUUCCCAGGACUUUAUAAGAUGAUGCACUGAAGGAUUUCAGCAAGAAAAUUCUGGAGUGUCAACUGAUACGUUUUUCAGUCUCACCUUGCUCACUGUUUGAGUAUUGUCACAUACACAUGCGUAUUAUUAGAGGGAAACUAGCAGCUUUGUAAGAAGAGGAAGGGAGACCUGAGCCCUCUCACCACGGGUUGCCCUGCACCACCACAGGACUCUGCAGAGAGUCCCCGCCAGCAAGAGGAUCUUCACCAGAUGUGGCCUCUUGACCUGAGACUUCUCAGCCUCCAU